rnacentral:tRNA from 1 species
GCCGGGAUAGCUCAGUUGGUAGAGCAGAGGACUGAAAAUCCUCGUGUCCA